rnacentral:piRNA from 1 species
UGGGAGGCAACUGAGCGGUCUCGCCUGGC